rnacentral:rRNA from 1 species
GCGUAAUAGCUCACUGGUCGAGUCGGCCUGCGCGGAAGAUGUAACGGGGCUAAACCAUGCACCGAAGCUGCGGCAGCGACACGAUGUGUUGUUGGGUAGGGGAGCGUUCUGUAAGCCUGCGAAGGUGACCUGUGAGGGUUGCUGGAGGUAUCAGAAGUGCGAAUGCUGACAUAAGUAACGAUAAAGCGGGUGAAAAGCCCGCUCGCCGGAAGACCAAGGGUUCCUGUCCAACGUUAAUCGGGGCAGGGUGAGUCGACCCCUAAGGCGAGGCCGAAAGGCGUAGUCGAUGGGAAACAGGUUAAUAUUCCUGUACUUGGUGUUACUGCGAAGGGGGGACGGAGAAGGCUAUGUUAGCCGGGCGACGGUUGUCCCGGUUUAAGCAUGUAGGCUGGUUAUCCAGGCAAAUCCGGAUAAUCAAGGCUGAGGUGUGAUGACGAGGCACUACGGUGCUGAAGUAACAAAUGCCCUGCUUCCAGGAAAAGCCUCUAAGCAUCAGGUAACACGAAAUCGUACCCCAAACCGACACAGGUGGUCAGGUAGAGAAUACCAAGGCGCUUGAGAGAACUCGGGUGAAGGAACUAGGCAAAAUGGUGCCGUAACUUCGGGAGAAGGCACGCUGGUGUGUAGGUGAAGCCCCUGCGGAUGGAGCUGAGACCAGUCGAAGAUACCAGCUGGCUGCAACUGUUUAUUAAAAACACAGCACUGUGCAAACACGAAAGUGGACGUAUACGGUGUGACGCCUGCCCGGUGCCGGAAGGUUAAUUGAUGGG